rnacentral:rRNA from 1 species
UAAGACGAACCGUGCGAACGUUAUUCGGAAUCACUGGGCUUAAAGCGCGUGUAGGCGGAUGGGAACGUCGGUAACUGAAAGCCCCCGGCUCAACCGGGGAAGUGGUGCCGAAACGACCCGUCUGGAGGGACGUAGGGGGACCUGGAACUUCCGGUGGAGCGGUGAAAUGCGUUGAGAUCGGAAGGAACGCCCGUGGCGAAAGCGAGGUCCUGGACGUCUGCUGACGCUGAGACGCGAAAGCUAGGGGAGCAAACGGG